GAUGAACGCUGGCGGCGUGCCUAAUACAUGCAAGUCGAGCGGAAGUUGGAGAGCUUGCUCUUCAACUUUAGCGGCGGACGGGUGAGUAACACGUGGGCAACCUGCCCUGCAGAUCGGGAUAACUCCGGGAAACCGGUGCUAAUACCGAAUAGUUUUCGCCACCUCCUGGUGGCGUACGGAAAGACGGUUUCGGCUGUCACUGCAGGAUGGGCCCGCGGCGCAUUAGCUAGUUGGUGGGGUAACGGCCCACCAAGGCAACGAUGCGUAGCCGACCUGAGAGGGUGAUCGGCCACACUGGGGCUGAGACACGGCCCAGAAUCCUACGGGAGGCAGCAGUAGGGAAUCUUCCGCAAUGGACGAAAGUCUGACGGAGCAACGCCGCGUGAGUGACGAAGGUGUUCGGAUCGUAAAACUCUGUUGUGAGGGAAGAACAAGUACCAACUAACUACUGGUACCUUGACGGUACCUCACCAGAAAGCCACGGCUAACUACGUGCCAGCCGCCGCCGUAA
rnacentral:rRNA from 1 species